GUCUACAGCCAUGCCACCCUGAACGUGCCCGAUCUCGUCUGGUCUCAGAAGCUAAGCAGGGUUAAGCCUGGUUAGUACUUAGACGGGAGACUACCUAGGAAUACCAGGUGCUGUAGGCA
rnacentral:rRNA from 1 species